AACCAUUCUCACCUGCGGCUAGACCUGCGGAGGGAUCAUUACUGAGUGAGGGUCGUUCUGGCCCGACCUCCAACCCUUUGUUUAUUAUACCAUGUUUGCUUUGGCAGGCCUGCCUUUAGGGGCUGCCGGGGGCACUACUGCCCCUGACUCGUGCCUGCCAGGAGCCUUCUUAAAUUCUGCGUUUAACUGUGCGGUCUGAGUCCCAGUAACAAAAUAUACAAAACUUUCAGCAACGGAUCU
rnacentral:misc_RNA from 1 species